rnacentral:rRNA from 1 species
GAUGAACGCUGGCGGCGUGCCUAAUACAUGCAAGUCGAGCGAACAGACGAGGAGCUUGCUCCUCUGACGUUAGCGGCGGACGGGUGAGUAACACGUGGAUAACCUACCUAUAAGACUGGGAUAACUUCGGGAAACCGGAGCUAAUACCGGAUAAUAUAUUGAACCGCAUGGUUCAAUAGUGAAAGACGGUUUUGCUGUCACUUAUAGAUGGAUCCGCGCCGCAUUAGCUAGUUGGUAAGGUAACGGCUUACCAAGGCAACGAUGCGUAGCCGACCUGAGAGGGAGAGUGCCGGCACUGAUGCUGCGACAGGGUCCAGAGUCCUAGGGGGAGCAGCGAUACGAAAUCUUCCUCCAUAGACGAAACCCUACCGGCGCAACGCCGCGUGAGUGAUGCAGGUCUUCGCAUCGUAAGACUCUGUUAUUAGUGAGUAACAAAUGUGUAAGUAACUAUGCACGUAUUGACGGUACCUAAUCAGAAAGCCGCGGCUAACUCCAUG